rnacentral:rRNA from 1 species
GACGAACCGUGCGAACGUUGUUCGGAAUCACUGGGCUUAAAAGGGCGCGUAGGCGGCUGUGUAAGUCUCGGGUGAAAUCUUUCGGCCCAACCGGAAACGUGCCUGGGAUACUGCGCAGCUAGAGGGGGAUAGGGGCGGACGGAACUUCCGGUGGAGCGGUGAAAUGCGUUGAUAUCGGAAGGAACGCCGGUGGCGAAAGCGGUCCGCUGGAUCCCCUACUGAGCUGAGGCGCGAAAAGCCAGGGGGAGCAAAACGGGG